rnacentral:lncRNA from 1 species
UUGGACCAGAAUGGUGUGAGGUAAACAUUCAAGUACCAAUAAAAAAAGAUGAAAACUUGGUAAGACCAUAUGGUUUAUUUUCUACAAUUCAAGAUUGUAUUGGUGCACCCAUCGCAUGGCCCUAUCCAUUCAUCUCGGUAGUCCAUGAGGAUUGAGGACGCAUGAUGACUCAAGAUUUUAUGCUUCUUAUUUCUUUAAUUGUUUUUAAUUUCUUUGUUAAAUGUUAAGACUUUAUGUUAGAUAAUGUUAUAACUUAUU